rnacentral:tRNA from 1 species
GGAGAUGUGGCUCAGCCAUAGAGUGUUUGCCUGGUAAGCAUGAGGCUAUGAGUUCAAAUCUCAGUAUAGCCA